CUCCCAUGUCGACCUUGCCGUGGUGUAGUAGACGUCGUUCGUUCGUGCACAAACCUCCGCCAGUGCGAGCGAGUUGGUCGCCGAACGCUGACGAAUUUUAUCCUUUGGUGCUGGACGUGUCCCCGUUGCUGCUGCGCACGCACCAGCUUUGCUCACCAAGGUUGCAUCCCUCAUCUCGCCAAAAGGUUUCUGCUAGACAGUUGCACGUUUGGACCGCCUCAAUGAUCCGAGUGAACCCAGGAGGCACUGUCACUGUAUAAGGAAUCAAGAAGCUGUGACAACGCGCAAGCAAAUUUGCAUAUCGGAAUCAUCGUCACGGAAAUUGAGCUACGGCGAGUCAGGGCACGAGGAAAGCCACAGGAUACAUUGAUAGAGGAAGAGAGAUCGAAAGAGAAGGGAAGAGGGAAAGGGAGAGGGA